GCGUGCCUAACACAUGCAAGUCGAACGCGAAAGUGGAGCAAUCCAUGAGUAGAGUGGCGAACGGGUGAGUAACACGUGGGUGACCUACCUUCGAAUGGGGGAUAACGUCCCGAAAGGGACGCUAAUACCGCAUAACAUCCUGCUUUUGAACAGGUGGAGAUCAAAGCCGGGGAUCGCAAGACCUGGCGUUUGAAGAGGGGCCCGCGUCUGAUUAGCUAGUUGGUGAGGUAACGGCCCACCAAGGCAACGAUCAGUAUCCGGCCUGAGAGGGCGGACGGACACACUGGGACUGAGACACGGCCCAGACUCCUACGGGAGGCAGCAGUGGGGAAUUGUUCGCAAUGGGCGCAAGCCUGACGACGCAACGCCGCGUGGAGGAUGAAGGUCUUCGGAUUGUAAACUCCUGUUGCCCGGGACGAAACGUUUCGACCUAACACGUCGAGACCUGACGGUACCGGGUGAGGAAGCCCCGGCUAACUCUGUGCCAGCAGCCGCGGUAAUACAGAGGGGGCAAGCGUUGUUCGGAAUUACUGGGCGUAAAGGGCGCGUAGGCGG
rnacentral:rRNA from 1 species